rnacentral:lncRNA from 1 species
CUGAAUUGCCGCCUCCGUGGCCGCGAGAGCGCUCCGCCGCAGGGGUUCCGACAGAGGACGGCCCCCCCCACCCACAUUUGAAACGAUCGCGGCUGUUGAUGGGGUAGGAACACCGCCCGUUAACCGCUCCGGCGGGUAAGAAAGGGCGCUGGGAAGCCGCCCCCCUCGGUCUUUUCGGGGAGGUAAGCUGCUUCGCUCCUUUCCCUUCUCCGUCUUCUUCUACUCUCACUCCAACCCACCACCAAUCCCCACCCCUCGGCCAGAACAGGAAUCUCCUUCCGUGCCGUGAAUGAAUGGGGAAGAAGGGCCUCUCUCGAGGAAGGAGGGGGAGAGUCCCGUGACGACGGCCGGUCCUUCUCAGGAACGCGCGGAGAGCGCCGAAGCUGCCGGUGCCUUUGGGGCGGCAGCUUCGAUGAUCCUUGACCAUCAUCGAAGGUUCAACGCAAUCUCUUCCUUCUUCCUUCGAUCGCAUUGUUUCUCCCGCUUGGCGUCUGCACUCCGCUUGUCCCCUGCGAUUGUUGCGAGUUUUUAUUGUGUACUCUGUUCACUCUUCAAGCGCACAGUGACUGGUACCUGCCCUACCUGCCUUCAUGAGCCGGCUGAGCAUUUGUUUGCUUUCGUUUUCGUGACCAGAAUCGAUAUGCAGCCCUGCCAAUGCUUAGCCAUGCGCGUGUGAAUAGUAUUAGUUCGCUCCGCUGCUCAGGUAAAAGAGCGUCGAAGGUAAACGUGUAAACCUUCCGAGAUUCCCAUACUGUGAGCGCGAAGUCUCCGCUGUAAAAAGCAUGGAUCGAAGUAAGAAAAUCUCGUAAGAAGAAAGAAAGGAAGGAUUCUCCUGUCUACUGUUCUCAUAAUUAUUUGUGGUUCUGGUCAGCUAAAAGAGCAAUAAAAGUAGAGGUCUAACCUUCGGGGAUUCAUAUGUUGUGAGCGCCAAAUCUCCGGUGUACAGUAUGGAUCGAAGUAAGAAAAUCUCGUAAGAAAAAAAAAAGAAAAAAGGAAGGAUUCUCCUGUCUGCUGUUCUCGUAAUUAUUUAUGGUUUAUCGGUUUUUGAAAUGAGUUAAUUGUUUAGAAUUAUCAUCGUAACUCUUGGAUUUCACAUAUCAGGACCUGAAUGGAAGAUGCCUACUCUGCUCAGGAUGACAAUGCCUGGACCAUAUCAUCCCCUCGUCCCAUUUGGAGAAAAAAUUCGCUAGCGUUCAUGACCCCGUAAUCUAUUAUGUCUGCACAUUUUAUACCAUUUACUUCAUUAUUUCUCCCGUUUUAGAUUAGGUUCGCCAUUUUAUAUUCAUCUACACAGUUUGCCUUCACUGAGUUCACGCAUCUUCUUAACAUGUAGAGCCCAAAGUUAUCCAUUCUUUCUUGGGGUGUGAGAGGCAUUUCAUUGCUGCCCGAAGUUCGCCAUUUCUAACACAAUGGCUUCUGUGGAGAUUCUACAUAAGAAAUCUGUUUGAAUUUCGUAUGAAACACUCCUUCGUAGACUUAAUUUACACAAGAAUGGAAUCCAGCCCAUUUCACAAUCGCUCUUUUUUAAUUGUUCAUGGAUUUCGCUAAUGAUAAAAAAACAUUUAUUUGUACAGUUUGGCGAAUCUCAUGCAGUUGCAGUUACCUCAAUGCCCUUGAGACUCGCCCUCUUGGCAUUCCGAGGGCAUGGACUGGCUGAUGCCAUUUUAUUUCCCUUGAUAAUACCGCGAACUUAGCCUAUAGUUUUGUGUUCUGAUCUUCAUUUGGUUUCAUCUUCGUCCUCUGAUUUGAAACUCCAGCAGGCGAAGCAGAGUGCUCUGCAGACCAAAUGGUUUCUAACACAGAGUUGACCACCAGGAAUUUCUUUGACUGGAAUGGAUGGGAACAAGGUGCAACUGAUAUUGCUAUAAUUCAUUUAAAUCUCGGCAUUGAAAUUUGAAGCGAAAGAAUGGGAAAUGACGACAGAAUGACCUACACAAUGGACCAAUCCACCAUGCUUAGGAUGAGAUUUUAUCUCCCUCACACCAUGUUCAGAACCCUGUUACAGGGGUGCCUGAGUGAUGGAACAAAAAUGAUUGAAGAGGAGAGGGAAGAGAGGAAGGGAGGCUUGUGUGGGUGAUUUUGUGAUGGUUCUGUGGCUCCCCGAGCUCACAUGUUGAAGCCCAUUUGACCUGAUGGAGCACAAGGACAAGGUAAGCACUGUGUAGAGCUUAUUUGAGAGAUGGGCGGGCUUCUCAGAAAUUACUAAACUGAUCAAACUGUCCUUGUGAUGAAAUUGUAAACUGUCUUUAUGGGCAAAUGAUGGGAGUUUAAUAAAGUCGUACAAAGUAAGGCUAAGAAAUUAAUGAUAUUUUUGACUCACCCAAAGCUAUGAUAAACCAAUAAAAACGGAUGGAUCGUGAUCAGGACAAAUUUCCUCGUUGGCUAUAUUUGAC